AUGAAUGUCAUCGAGGUACCUAUGUUUCCUCAGUCCUACCAGGAAAGUUUUCAGAUAGUUACUGCUAAGAACUUCUAUGCAGUUCUCUUGGGCAAUAAAACUGCAGUCACUGGAGGGAGCAAACCAAAUGACCAUAUAUCUACUACUCAGAUCACGGGGGUUCUGGAGUCCUUGGCGUGUGCAAGUAUGCCCAACCUGCCAUAUCUCUAUGCUGCGGAUUUUAUCAAGGUCUUACAAGAACAACAUGCAUCCAACACCUACGCAAAAAUGGGUUUGAUGCUUGCAGACCUCAAUAUUUAUGUCACAACAGCAUCUAAUGCAGAAGAAAGCACCUGGGGUACAUACUGCCCAGGAAUGGAGCCAUCGCCUCCUUCUGAGUAUAUUACCUGCUUAGGUGAUCUCUACAGUAUUUCCUGGAUGGAAGACAGAAAUAGCAUCGGCUGCAUAGAUGGAGCGCCGAUCUGGAGGCCCCUGAUCGGAAGGGAAGCCACUGGAGCUGCUGCGGGAGAUGGUGGCGGUACGCUGGUAGAGCUUGGAGCAGACGUGGAGGGGCCGGACCUGCUGGUCCUUGAAGGUGCUGAAGUUUGUUUUAAAGGUUUGCCAUGUUUCUUUAAAAUUUAUCCGUUGAAUUUGUAUGUCUGCUCCACUGGGCUGCUGCUGCAAGCUUUCAUGUUUGGCUCUUGCACCAUUGUUUCAUAUUUGUGUACAUGUACUAAGAAAAGGAACGGCUUGUGUUCCACGAUGUACCUGUAUUGCGGCAUGAUCCAAGGAGUGGGUCACUGCAUAUAUCCUGACAUGACUGGUCUUUUAUUGUUAUCUUCUUGGGAGUACUUGAGAAGGCGUGGCGGGGAAGGUGGGGACACGCCAUGGCAGAGGCCAGUGGCAAACCUACGUGUAAGCCCUGAGGUCCGGGGAAGGUCGGAGACUGAUGUGGAUGCGCAAGGGCAGCGCUGGCCUCUGCCUAGAAGGGCAAUCACAGUGUACAGAGCUCUAGCAGCACUACGCCGUCAUCCUCUGCCUCACCCCGGCCGCAUGAAUUUCAAGAGAUGCAAGGAAGUAGGAGGAAGAAGAAAUGCAGGCGACCUCAUGAAAGUCACAGCAGCAAAGAUCCACAGAUUGCAAUCUGUUAUUGUUAUCUUCUUGGGAGUACUUGAGAAGGCGUGGCGGGGAAGGUGGGGAAACGCCAUGGCAGAGGCCAGUGGCAAACCUACGUCACAAAAACACAAUAACAGUUGGGAGGGCUGCUUUAUAUCCCUAGACCCCCACCCACACCUGACCGCCAUCUCCCUCUUUCCUCGGUAUCAUAACCUGAUGCGACGUUGGCGGCGCAGCAGUCCGGAGGAGGCCAGCAGUGCCGACGACGGCUCUGCGAUGGGGAAAGGGAAGAGACAUGAUCAUAUCGAUCACCAGUCAUGGAGUCAAGUGGUUGUUGUCGUCAAGCUAAAUGUUGCGUGGAUGCAGGUGGAUGUGGGCGCCGCGGCUGCCACCAAGGAUGUAGGGGUCAUGCUACAACCGGGAGUUAACUGGAAAAUAUUAUUCCUAGCCACUAACGUGUGGGCUACUUGCAUCCUGGCAUGCCAUGUAGGCAGAGUUUUUAGCACCGAGUUGAACAUCUAUUGGGUGUUCCGCAACUCCGUCGGCGAGUCCGGACCGAGGUUGCGGAGCCAGGGCGAGCGUCGUAGACGAAGUAGUCGAAGUAGUCGAACACGCGAAAGGACUAAGGGGUCAAGGGAUAAGUACCCACUUAACGUAAAGAGGGGAAACGGGAGGGGCCAGCCCGUGCGAUUUGCACGCGGCUGCCGCCACCCUCCCGGAUGGCCCGGUUUCCCAACACUCCCCCUUGGGUAA
rnacentral:rRNA from 1 species